UGGGGAAUAUUGGACAAUGGGCUCAAGCCUGAUCCAGCCAUGCCGCGUGAGUGAUGAAGGCCCUAGGGUUGUAAAGCUCUUUCACCGGUGAAGAUAUUGACGGUAACCGGAGAAGAAGCCCCGGCUAACUUCGUGCCAGCAGCCGCGGUAAUACGAAGGGGGCUAGCGUUGUUCGGAUUUACUGGGCGUAAAGCGCACGUAGGCGGACUAUUAAGUCAGGGGUGAAAUCCCGGGGCUCAACCCCGGAACUGCCUUUGAUACUGGUAGUCUUGAGUUCGAGAGAGGUGAGUGGAAUUCCGAGUGUAGAGGUGAAAUUCGUAGAUAUUCGGAGGAACACCAGUGGCGAAGGCGGCUCACUGGCUCGAUACUGACGCUGAGGUGCGAAAGCGUGGGGAGCAAACAGG
rnacentral:rRNA from 1 species